rnacentral:tRNA from 2 species
ACGGGCGUAGUUCAAUGGUAGAAUAGCGGUCUCCAACACCGUUGAUGGGAGUUCGAAUCUCUCCGCCCGUG